AUUGAACGCUGGCGGCAUGCUUUACACAUGCAAGUCAAACGGUAACAGGCCGCAAGGUGCUGACGAGUGGCGAACGGGUGAGUAAUGCAUCGGAACGUGCCCAGUCGUGGGGGAUAACGCAGCGAAAGCUGCGCUAAUACCGCAUACGAUCUCUGGAUGAAAGCGGGGGACCGAAAGGCCUCGCGCGAUUGGAGCGGCCGAUGUCAGAUUAGGUAGUUGGUGGGGUAAAGGCCCACCAAGCCAACGAUCUGUAGCUGGUCUGAGAGGACGACCAGCCACACUGGGACUGGGACACGGCCCAGACUCCUACGGGAGGCAGCAGUGGGGAAUUUUGGACAAUGGGCGCAAGCCUGAUCCAGCAAUGCCGCGUGCAGGAAGAAGGCCUUCGGGUUGUAAACUGCUUUUGUACGGAACGAAACGGUCCGGGCUAAUACCCUGGGCUAAUGACGGUACCGUAAGAAUAAGCACCGGCUAACUACGUGCCAGCCGCCGCAGUAA
rnacentral:rRNA from 1 species